UCUCCUUACUCUGAGGAUAUUGACGAUGAGUUGACGAAGAAGAAGAAUGGAAAUGUGCUCAAGAAAAUUGGUGUUUUGUGGAAGAAGCCUCAGAAAUAGCUGGGGAAUGACUUAUAUAAUUAGGUACCGUCGAUUUGGAGUUGGAUUAUAAGAGCAACUCCUGUGACUCCGGUAUUGAUGUGAAUUAGUAGUAGUCUGAGAACUAUGCUCUGGAAAAAAUACUUGUUGGAAAGAUUUAAGCUAAGUUGUCGUAAUUUUACUAUUAUGUUACGUUUCUCCAGGAAGAAGAUUACUAAAACUAAAAAAGUAUGUCAUUGUGCAACUAGGUAGAGGUAGUAACUGUUGUUAAUGUUCAUAAACAUGAAACCCUCUGGUUCACGUA